UGAUUCCCCUAAUGUUUCCUGGUCUUCAAACCUGACAAAGAGUUGUUCUCAGAUCUUAGGAGAAUAAUACAGCACUUAAAAAGGAAGAUGCAGCCCAGCAGCCCUGCACUGGAGGCCAAGAUGGAGAAGACCUCCAUGGACUCCAUCAUCUUCUUGUUGCUGUGCUACAUGAGGUGGAGAGUGACCCACAUACUGCAGAACACCAGCAUGCUGAAUGUCAGGAACUUGGCUGCAUUGAAUGGGUCAGGUAGCACUGAGAAACUUGGAGCAAUCUCUCAGUCAUGGUAUGAAGCCCAUGAGAGAAGAAGAACCAGCCAACUAGUGAGGUGAGCCAUGCUCCUCCCACACCCCCCACACGCAGGAGAAAAAAAUCAACCCUUUCCCUUCAUCAGAGGAGGUGGGAAGAGAUGAUUUUCUGUCAGUAUGUCUGAUGCUGAGUGAAAAUCGAUGUCAGACUCUAGCCGAAUCUAAGUUGCAGCAGGAUAUCAGUCUGUAUGUUUUGGUGGUUCUCAUAUCCAGAGCACUGUGGAAAAAAUGGGAAAGAGAGUUGAGGUUGGGCUCCCUGGGUCUCAGCCUCCCGGACUUGAACUGGGUACCGAUUGGUGCAGGUUCACCACACACAUGUGCUAUUCCUCCUUAGAGUUAGCUUCCUAACUCUAAGAACACACACAGAUGUCCUGAUCAUCACCUAUAAACCUGGCACAUGCAGCUCUGCUCUUCUCUGCUCUACUCUGUCAUGCAUUAGCAAAAAGAGCUUUGCCAUCCUGUGGUAUACUUAUCACUGUAGUAACCGUGUAACUAUCUUUAAAAACACAGCUGUUUUCUGCAGCCAGCCACACUCAGGUACCCACUCCAUUAUUAUAAAUUAACUGAAGUGCUGCCACACUGUUCUGUUUGCAUUGUCACCCUAAUAACCUGUUUGCAUUGUCAACCUAUGCUCCCUUUGUUAGAGACUAAUGUUGGUUUGUCAACCUUUGUUCUUUUUGUGAGAGACAAAUGUUGCUGUGUCAACCUUUAUUCCCUUUGUGAGAGACAAAUGUUCAUGGAAUUAGCAGACCAAGUGCUGUGAAUUCUUUUAAGGAAGAAAAGGGCUAACCACUGGCUAUGAAACAUCUCUGACCUCAAGCAAAGGGGAACAAAGGCCUUCCUCAUUCCUGCUCACUAUGUACUUUGCAGUUAAUGGGCUAUAAAAGCCUGUCCAAAUUUUAACCCAGUUACACAGCUUUACAAACUCAAUCUGCACUGUGUUGCUGGUGUCAGUUUAAAUAAAAGCACUCUUUUUCUUUUUAAAAGAUGUCUUGCCCUGUUUUUUGGACAAUAUUUCAGGGCUCAUUUUUGGGGUACAACAUUUGGGGGCUCAUGCUGGAUUGAAUGGGGACUCACUCCCCACAUUAUGUUUCACCAAAUGAUUGGCUUCAAACAUCUGUAAGUAUUUGGAUCUUUUUUAUUUGUAAUUUAAGUGCACAUGUUUGGAGUUGCAGAUGAGCCUGGUUCUCCUUCUGCCCUGGAGUGGGACACCCUCCAAGAAAAGGUUUCUAGCACAUUAGUGAUUCGGGAAUUUGGCCUAAUUGGUUUUGUUCUUGGUAUAUUUACACUGUGGAGCCAUUUGCUUGUUUGAAUCUAUUACCUCAGUACUAACAUUCAGGUUUCUUUUAUUUCUCUUAAACUAAUGUUGCACCCAUGUGGUUUCUUGGCUUCAGGGUUAUAAUGAAAAUUAUUUUGCUAUAGGUUGCCAGACAACUGUGAAUCAACAAGUCUUUGUGUGUGUGUGUUUGCGUUUUUCUUGUCUUCUCUGGUGCCUUGUGUUGUGUUAUUGUCAUUGACCAAUUAUUGAUAACUAUGGGUCAGGCAUCAUCAUCAGAGCCUUUGUCUCCCCUUACUUUGGUUCGUAAUCAUUUCAGAGAUUUCAAGGAUCAAGCCUGGACAUAUGUAGAACCACAAAAUUCUGGGAAGCUCUGAAAUUUCUGUGAGCUUGAAUGGCCUGCCGUGGUUCCCAACUGGCCCUCAGCAGGUAGUUUUAAUUUCUGCACUGCUCAUGCCAUCUGACAAUAUGUCUUUGGAUCCCUGACCCACCCUGACCAAAUUGUGUAUAUUCAAAUUUGGAAUGAUCUCAUUUGUGAUCCUCCUUCUUGCUUAAAAAGUUUCUCAAGGCAUCUGAGCUUCAAUUUGG
ensembl:lincRNA